rnacentral:lncRNA from 1 species
UAUGAACCCGAAGAGAUUUGGAAUGUUACUUUCUUCAAAUAACAAUCUAAUACAGCAUGAUGCCAGUCUAGCCAAUCCAUCCCCACAAUUACAUCAAAGGAUGAAAUAUCAAGAAGAACCAGAUAUAUUGUAACUUCAAGAUCCCCAAUAUAAAGUACACAAGCAUUACACACCCACUCGGUUUCCACCUUACCACCCAUAGGAGUCUCAACACAUAAUGAAUAAUGAAGGGGAACAAAU